rnacentral:rRNA from 1 species
AGAAAUUUAUUUUUAAGUUAGAAAGCUUAAAUUUAUUUAAAAGACGAGAAGACCCUAUAGAGUUUUAUAAUUUUAUAUAGUUGAUACUUUUUAGUAUAGUUAGGGUUAACUGUAUAAAAUUAUUUUGUUGGGGUGAUAGAAAAAUUAAAAAAACUUUUUUUAUUUAUAACAAUAAUAUUUGAUUAAAUGAUCCGUUUAGGCGAUUAAAAGAUUAAAUUACCUUAGG